rnacentral:misc_RNA from 1 species
GUAGAUGAAUAUGCUACAGAAUUUUUGGAAAUAAGUAGGUAUGCCCCCACAGCAGUGGCUACAAAAAGUAUGAAGGUAAAGAGGUUCCUAAAGGGGCUGGAUAGGAAUGAUGCAAACCUAGUCAUGAUGUCUGAUCAGUCUUUUGACGUGGUAGUUGAUCGAGCCAGACAGAUAGAGAUUAGCUAUGCUGCGGAUGACAGCGGGAGAGCCAAGAAAAACAGAGUAGAGGGUUCCUCAGGUGUCCCUUCCAUGGGUACUCCGGACAGUGGUGGCCAGAGUAAUUACAGAGGAAAGGGUAGGAGCAAGAGAAGUGGUUUUAGACACAGACCACGAGGAUUCAGACCAUGGUACGGAUUCAGCAGUGGUCACAGUUCGGGGUAUAGCAGUUCUGUGUCUGGGUCAGGAUCCUCCUUGGCACCUUGU